UGCAUAUCUAUUUAAAGCGGAGGAAAAGAAAAUAACAAUGAUUACCUCAGUAGCGGCGAGUGAAGAGGUAAAAGCCCAAGAUGUUAAUCUGUGUUAAAGACAUAGAAUUGUAAUCUAUGGAGUCAAUCAGAAAGCGGAAGCCUGCCAUAAGUCCCUUGGAAUAGGGUGCCAGAGAGGGUGAAAGCCCCGUCUUCGGGUAGGACGAAGCAAUACAAAGAUUCU
rnacentral:rRNA from 1 species